CAGUAGCCGCGGUAAUGCAGAGGGUGCAAGCGUUAAUCGGAGUUACUGGGCGUAAAGGGCGCGUAGGCGGUUAUAUAAGUGAGAUGUGAAAUCCCUGGGCUUAACCUAGGAACUGCAUCUUAUACUGUAUGGCUAGAGUAUUGUAGAGGGUAGUGGAAUUUCCGGUGUAGCGGUGAAAUGCGUAGAGAUCGGAAGGAACACCAGUGGCGAAGGCGGCUACCUGGACAAAUACUGACGCUGAGGCGCGAAAGCGUGGGGAGCAAACAGGAUUAGAUACCCCAGUAGUCCCUGUCUCUUAUAC
rnacentral:rRNA from 1 species